AUUGGUGGUGUACGGAGAGAGCACUUGAUUGGGGUCCAGGUGGUGGACCUGAUCUGAUUGUUGAUGAUGGUGGUGAUGCUACAUUGUUGAUUCAUGAAGGUGUUAAAGCCGAAGAGGAAUACGCGAAAACUGGUAAAUUUCCAGAUCCUAAUUCUACUGAUAAUGUUGAAUUUCAGCUUGUGCUUACGAUUAUUAAGGACGGAUUGAAAAGCGAUCCAUUGAAAUAUACGAAGACGAAG
rnacentral:misc_RNA from 1 species